rnacentral:rRNA from 1 species
UACGUAGGUGGCAAGCGUUGUCCGGAAUUAUUGGGCGUAAAGGGCGCGCAGGCGGUUCGGUAAGUCUGUCUUAAAAGUGCGGGGCUUAACCCCGUGAGGGGACGGUAACUGUCGAACUUGAGUGUCGGAGAGGAAAGCGGAAUUCCUAGUGUAGCGGUGAAAUGCGUAGAUAUUAGGAGGAACACCGGUGGCGAAAGCGGCUUUCUGGACGACAACUGACGCUGAGGCGCGAAAGCGUGGGGAGCAAACAGG